rnacentral:rRNA from 1 species
CGGGCGUCUUAACAUGCAAGUAGAACGCUGAAGAGAGGAGCUUGCUCUUCUUGGAUGAGUUGCGAACGGUGAGUAACGCGUAGGUAACCUGCCUUGUAGCGGGGGAUAACUAUUGGAAACGAUAGCUAAUACCGCAUAACAAUGGAUGACACAUGUCAUUUAUUUGAAAGGGGCAAUUGCUUCACUACAAGAUGGACCUGCGUUGUAUUAGCUAGUAGGUGAGGUAACGGCUCACCUAGGCGACGAUACAUAGCCGACCUGAGAGGGUGAUCGGCCACACUGGGACUGAGACACGGCCCAGACUCCUACGGGAGGCAGCAGUAGGGAAUCUUCUGCAAUGGGGGCAACCCUGACCGAGCAACGCCGCGUGAGUGAAGAAGGUUUUCGGAUCGUAAAGCUCUGUUGUAAGUCAAGAACGAGUGUGAGAGUGGAAAGUUAACACUGUGACGGUAGCUUACCAGAAAGGGACGGCUAACUACAA